GGUUCAUUGCUGUCUUUCUGUAGCUCUGCCCUGCGUUCCCACCCCACCCCACAAUCAGAAUUUGUGAAUUUAAGAAAAUGGUGACUCCAUUCCUCUUGAUUCUGUUAACUAUCCUCUAUCUAUUUAUCUCAUGUGCUAGGCCGAAAGAAGAUCCCACUUUCUGCUAAGUAAACCAGUCUGAUGAAUAAGGCUUGUAGCUUGCUCCAAAGAGGCAUAUUACAGGACCCCUCUGAGAAAAUUACACGCCAGCUCUGACUGAAAUGUCAUAUGAGUCAUUGAUGAAUGGGGCCUUUAGUGUGCAGUUGAUGGCAAUCAGACUGUCUUUCUGACAGCCCAUAAGUAAAUCAUAAGUCAGCUUGGAAACUUUUUUUUUUUUUAAUGUGCCCUUCAGUUAUGGGCAGCUGUAAAGAGUAAAGGGCAACAGCAUAAUUAUAGGCUUUCAAGGAAUAUAGAAUGGGACAGGGAGGGGGAAUCUUCAUCUCCAGAUUUAGAAGCUUAACAUUGAACCUCUACCUCCAGAAUGGCAUGCAAAUUAUCAUUUCCUGUAGGAUAUUAUUGUAAAUAACGGUAAGUGGUCAGCAAAAAGAGGAAGGGAGGGUGUUUUUUUUAGGGGGGAGCUAGGGCUUUGAUUGAAGCUGAAGAGGCUAUCUUUCCAUCUCAAAUAGAUGCUGAAGUGCUGAUCAGCAUACACAACUGUAAAGGAGACAAUACUUGAGCUAUAAGUGCAGCUUUGUACAAACACACAAAGGCUAUUUCCUUCCUCUCCGCAACUCCUCCCCUGAGCUUUGUGACUGAAUGGAUUAAUGUGAGGUGUGUGUCCUGUAUGUGUGUGUAAAGUAAUUAAGAACGAGGUGUUUGCAAUAAUGAGACACAUGGGGUGGACCAUUUUUUUCUGGCUGGUAUUCAAAAUGCUGCUUAAGGUCAAGUAAAGGGACUUGUACUAUCCAUGGUGUGUUUCAGUCCGUCCCCCCAUUAAACGCUUGAGCUGCUCCUCCAUAGCAUAUAGCAGGGAUGGAGUACUCUUUCUUGAAGCCCAAGGACUAUGCUCCCUUGGAAUGGGGUGCAUUCCAGGGGAAGGGAAGGCCAUAGGCAAAAAUGGAUAAAGCAACAGAUGUGAUACUCAUCUAUGAACAAUAAGCUACAUUUCAACCACUUAAAAGGUCAGAGGCUUGUAGACACACAUCUAUGUUCCAGGGCACAGUGCAGGUACCCAAGGAGGCCAAGGAACAGGACUGGGGUGGGGCCUGAAGAGAAGAGGUGAAGCCUGGGAGAGUAUCAAGGACCAGACAGAGAAGCUUGGACGGUUGCAUUUGUCCAUGUAUGUGUGAGGUUCUGUGCCUGCCUUGCAGGAGAACUGCUGCAUCUAUCUUUCUGAAAAUUGGCAGGCUUAAUCCACUCUUUGCUUGCUAAUUUCAGCCACUUACUUUAAAAGGAAAUAAUGUUAUAGUUGUGUUCAGAUUGCCCAUUAUAGUCAGUGUGGGAAGGAACAGAGCUUCAGAUUUAACAGAUUGGAUUUCAGUCCAAAUAAUGAAUGACACAGGGUCUGAAAGAGUUCAGACUGCUUUCAGACACUACAGGUGAAUCUUGUGAUCAUUGCAUUCCCUGACCAUUGCGUGUGACUUUACACUUGCUUGCACUUGAUCUUAUUUGGCAUUUUAAUGUUUCCCAAAUUUGAAGAAAUUCCUUUGGAGCUCUUCACUGCCCAUUUUUGCUGUCAUCCACAAACUUGACCACUUCACUACUCACCCACUUCACUGGGGCACCCAUUGAUUACAGUCCUCCAUUAUGAGAACUAUCAAUUUUUUCUUACUCUUUCUACUUCUUGUUUUUUAUCCAUAAUACCACUCCACUCAACCUAUGACUACUGAGUGUACUCAGGGAUUUUGGUGAGGACGUGUGUCAGAAUCGAAGAUAGUUUUGAUAAGGGUAGUAAAAAAGUCAAAAUCUGCACAAGGGGAGGGAAAUCCCUACCUAGUAUUGCCUAUAGUGAAAUCUGGGGAAAAUCUGGAAACCCCUAGUCUGUCAAAACAUUCAAGAAUAAUUUAUCGGAGGAAAUAUUCCUCCUUUCCCACAUGCCUACCUAAUUACAUGUCAGGAAUAUUAUCAGUAGUCCAAUAUUAUUCUCCAUAAAUCUUCCAUACUUUAUCAACAUUUGUGUCAACUGAUCUGGGCCAAAUAUUUAGUGAAGAUAGGUUGGUAUAUAUUUUUGCAUAUGACUCUAUGUAUAUAAUUUUAUCUUUCUUCCAUACCAUGGAUGGGAGAGCAUCAUCUGCUGCAUCUGAGGGCAGCAGGCUAGCUUCAGAGGUACAGGGCAGGCUUUGUGAGCAUCCACUGCCCCUCACUGCUCCCCUUCACACAAUCUUCUGCCUGAGUCAGCCACUUCACUCUGACUAAUGCAAGAGCUGGCCCUGCGUGCACGUACAAGUUAUAUUCUAGAGGACAGUUUAGAUAGUUAAAGGGACUAUAAAGAUGCAUCUCUCUUCCUUUCCCCUGCUUUGUGCAUGUUCUAUUUUUCUUCCAGUGCCUUUCAACUCUUUCAAAGUAAUGUGGGCCGGAGGCCGUUAAGUUUGUUGUGGAUGGAGCAACUACAAACAAACAGUGUGCUGAGGCAGCAAACUGUUCAGUUUUGUGUGAGGUGCGCAGUGAUAGAUAGCAAGAAUUAGCCUGCUAAGUGUCGCCUACUGACAGCAUUCAGAAUGGCAGGGCCUGGAAAAACACCUGAGGCCUUCUUGUGCAUCUCCCGCUGUGCUCAGUGCAAGAGGACUGAUAAGAACGAAUUUAGUAAUUACUGCUGCAGGUAUCUUAUUAAAGCGAGAGACUCACUUUCAACCUAAUUGCUCAGACUGUAGGGUUUUUUACAUGCAGAAUGUGGGUCUUUCAGAGCAAACACCACUGUGAUGUAGCUUAGUUCCCACUUAAAAGGCUACUUAUGCUUGCUAUAAUUGGCUGGGAUUAGCUACAUCACCCAUUCCAAAUGAUUU